ACAUACAAAUAUCACCACUACAAAUAAUACCACUAAUACAUAUAUAUAUAUAACACACAUAAAGCUGGAAAUACGUAGGACUAAGUGAUAGCGAUUUUUAACCAAUUUCAUAAAGGAGGAGGUCCUCAAUUUGGAAAUGCUGUGUCAGUACAGUGCUGUUGACAUGUUAUUUACGGCGUCGCGCUCUGGAAUCAGUUCUAUAAUUCAACGAGCUUCCGAACUAUAGUGGACUAUUAUUAAAAUAUAGAUAAAUUUCGAACACUUGAAAAACAAGUCUGAAUGAAAUGAAAUGCAACGAACCGGAAUGUAACGGUAUGGAAUGUAAUGAAACAGAAUAGAAUGGAAUGUCUAUAAAUUUACUCGUAACUUAUUUGAAUAGAAUGAAACGACAUGAAAUGUAAUGGAACGGAAUGGGUAUGAAAUGUCUAUAAUUAUGGAACGCUUACAAAAUAUGUCCAUAAAUAGAACGAAAUGGAACUUACCGGAAUAGAAUGGAACGGCAUGAAAUGUAAUGGAACGAAAUGAAAAGAAACGUAACGGAAUGGAAUGUAAUUAAAUAGACUAGACCGUAAUAUAAUAAAAAUAUAACAUUGUAUGCUAUUUGUAUAAUAGCUUAAUGGAUAACUAUUGUGCAAUAAUAAUUAUAUCUAACUUUAAGCAAGCGAAAUCUAGAUAUCAUAUAGACAUGCAUUUUAAAUCUAAAUGUCAACUAGUUUUUUUCUUCUACUUCGUUCGCGUGGAUUUCUGAAGCAGAAAACCAAAUUAAAAUAAACCAUUUCAAAAAUA